GAAAUGCGAUACGUAAUGUGAAUUGCAGAAUCCAGUGAAUCAUCGAAUCUUCGAACGCACGUUGCGGCCCUGGGUAUUCCCAGGGCCACGCCUGCUUGAGUGCCAUUUAUAUACCUCAUUCUCUGACUUCUUUUGUCAAAGAAUGGAUUUGAGUUGUCGGAUCUUUUCAGUAAGGUCCGUCACUUGAAAUGUAGAGGUCAAUAACGCUUUUAUCCUCUAAGUACAAGCGUGGUACGCCUUAUUGCAAGGCAAAUCCUAUCCGCUUGUGCGUUAUAAAAGAAGAUAAAGCUCAAGACCCCAACACCAUUGAGGUUUGUUUACGCAUUCCUUAUAAUCUUGGCCUCAAGUCAGACGAGACUACCCGCUGAAUUUAA
rnacentral:misc_RNA from 1 species